GCAUAUCAAUAAGCGGAGGAAAAGAAACCAACAGGGAUUGCCCCAGUAACGGCGAGUGAAGCGGCAAGAGCUCAAAUUUGAAAUCUGGCCUCCCCCGGGGGCCCGAGUUGUAAUUUGCAGAGGAUGUUUCGGGUGCGGCCGCCGUCUAAGUUCCUUGGAACAGGACGUCAGAGAGGGUGAGAAUCCCGUCUUGGGCGGGCGGUCCGCGCCCGUGUGAAGCUCCUUCGACGAGUCGAGUUGUUUGGGAAUGCAGCUCUAAGCGGGUGGUAAAUUUCAUCUAAAGCUAAAUAUUGGCCGGAGACCGAUAGCGCACAAGUAGAGUGAUCGAAAGGUUAAAAGCACCUUGAAAAGGGAGUUAAACAGCACGUGAAAUUGUUGAAAGGGAAGCGCUUGCGGCCAGACUCGGGGGCGGGGUUCAGCGGGUGCUCGUCGCCCGUGUAUUCCUCGUUUCCCGGGCCAGCAUCAGUUUCGACGGCCGGUCAAAGGCCCCCGGAAUGUGUCGUCUCUCGGGACGUCUUAUAGCCGGGGGUGCAAUGCGGCCCGUCGGGACUGAGGAACGCGCUCCGGCUCGGAUGCUGGCGUAAUGGCCGUAAGCGGCCCGUCUUGAAACACGGACC
rnacentral:rRNA from 1 species